GAUGAACGCUGGCGGCGUGCCUAAUACAUGCAAGUCGAGCGAACGGACGAGAAGCUUGCUUCCCUGAUGUUAGCGGCGGACGGGUGAGUAACACGUGGAUCACCUACCUAUAAUACUGGGAUAACUUCGGGAAACCGUAGCUAAUACCGGAUAAUAUUUUGAACCGCAUGGUUCAAAAGUGAAAGACGGUCUUGCUGUCACUUAUAGAUGGAUCCGCGCUGCAUUAGCUAGUUGGUAAGGUAACGGCUUACCAAGGCAACGAUGCAUAGCCGACCUGAGAGGGUGAUCGGCCACACUGGAACUGAGACACGGUCCAGACUCCUACGGGAGGCAGCAGUAGGGAAUCUUCCGCAAUGGGCGCAAGCCUGACGGAGCAACGCCGCGUGGGUGAUGAAGGUCUUCGGGUCGUAAAACUCUGUUAUUAGGGAAGAACAGAUGUGUAAGUAACUGUGCCCAUCUUGACGGUACCUAAUGAGAAAGCCACGGCUAACUACGUG
rnacentral:rRNA from 1 species